CAAAACCGCUAACCUUUUUGAAAACCAAAACCGCUAUCCAUAAACCACUAACUUUUUGGAAAAUCAAAACCACUAAAGAUUUUCAAAUGAAAUACCAUAUACUCCCAACUUACCACUCAGCUUUUUCCAAAACCCUCUUUCACUAACAGAGAAGGAAACAAAGAGGGACAAGAAGGAAGAAGAUCUGAACAAGGAGAAGGAAAUGUUCCUCCUUGUUCUUCUUCUGAGAUUUAGAUAUAAUGUCAACUUCCAGCAUGGGUGACAACAACCAAAGACAACCUAAAGUUUGUGGCUUAAGGUGUAAUUGUGGAGUAAGAGCAGCGAUAUAUCAGAGUGUGACAACAACAAACACAGACUCUACUACAAAUGUUCCAAGUUAUAGAAUGGAUGUUGAUUCUUCUCCUGGUGUGAUCCAACUGAAGUUCCAAGAGAGACUCAAAAGUCCUAUUGAAUUGCAACAUUUGAUGAAGGUGACACGAAGUAUGAAAUUGAAAUCAAAGUGGCUAGAUAAGUUCAAUGAUCACUCAUGUUUGUUGAUCAUGUUGUAUUAAUGUGCUUUGUUAUAUUCGUUGUAGCGUUUAUUGUUAAAAAAAAAUAAAAUAAAAUAAAAAGACGAUGAGGAUGUGAUAUUAUUGGA